GACGAACGCUGGCGGCGUGCUUAACACAUGCAAGUCGAACGGAAAGGCCCUGCUUUUGUGGGGUGCUCGAGUGGCGAACGGGUGAGUAACACGUGAGUAACCUGCCCUUGACUUUGGGAUAACUUCAGGAAACUGGGGCUAAUACCGGAUAGGAGCUCCUGCUGCCUGGUGGGGGUUGGAAAGUUUCGGCGGUUGGGGAUGGACUCGCGGCUUAUCAGCUUGUUGGUGGGGUAGUGGCUUACCAAGGCUUUGACGGGUAGCCGGCCUGAGAGGGUGACCGGCCACAUUGGGACUGAGAUACGGCCCAGACUCCUACGGGAGGCAGCAGUGGGGAAUAUUGCACAAUGGGCGGAAGCCUGAUGCAGCAACGCCGCGUGCGGGAUGACGGCCUUCGGGUUGUAAACCGCUUUCGCCUGUGACGAAGCGUGAGUGACGGUAAUGGGUAAAGAAGCACCGGCUAACUACG
rnacentral:rRNA from 1 species